GAAAUGCGAUAAGUAAUGUGAAUUGCAGAAUUCAGUGAAUCAUCGAAUCUUUGAACGCACCUUGCGCUCCUUGGUAUUCCUUGGAGCAUGCCUGUUUGAGUAUCAUGAAAUCUUCAAAGUAAAUCUUUUGUUAACUCAAUUGGUUUCUACUUUGGUAUUGGAGGUCUUUGCAGCUUCACACCUGCUCCUCUUUGUUCAUUAGCUGGAUCUCAGUGUUAUGCUUGGUUCCACUCGGCGUGAUAAGUUAUCUAUCGCUGAGGACACUGUAAAAGGUGGCCAAGGUAAAUGCAGAUGAACCGCUUCUAAUAGUCCAUUGACUUGGACAAUACUUUUAUGAUCUGAUCUCAAAUCAGGUCGGACCACCCGCUGAACUUAAGC
rnacentral:misc_RNA from 1 species